rnacentral:rRNA from 1 species
AUUGAACGCUGGCGGCAGGCUUAACACAUGCAAGUCGAGCGGUAACAGAGAGAAGCUUGCUUCUCUGCUGACGAGCGGCGGACGGGUGAGUAAUGCCUAGGAAUCUGCCUAGUAGUGGGGGAUAACUUGCCGAAAGGUAAGCUAAUACCGCAUACGUCCUACGGGAGAAAGGAGGGGACCUUCGGGCCUUUCGCUAUUAGAUGAGCCUAGGUCGGAUUAGUUAGUUGGUGAGGUAAUGGCUCACCGAGACCGCGAUCCGUAACUGGUCUGAGAGGAUGAGCAGUCACACUGGAACUGCGACACGGUCCAGACUCCUACGGGAGGCAGCAGUGGGGAAUAUUGGACAAUGGGGGGAACCCUGAUCCAGCCAUGCCGCGUGUGUGAAGAAGGUCUUAGGAUUGUAAAGCACUUUAAGUUGGGAGGAAGAGCAGUUAACUAAUAUUUGACUGUUUUGACGUUACCGACAGAAUAAGCACCGGCUAACUUCGUGCCAGCCGCCGCCGUAA